UACGUAGGCAGCAAGCGUUGUUCGGAGUUACUGGGCGUAAAGGGUGCGUAGGCGGUUGUUUUAAGUUUGGUGUGAAAUCUCCCCGGCUCAACUGGGAGGGUGCGCCGAAUACUGAAUGACUCGAGUGCGGGAGAGGAGAGUGGAAUUCCUGGUGUAGCGGUGAAAUGCGUAGAUAUCAGGAGGAACACCGGUGGUGUAGACGGCUCUCUGGACCGUAACUGACGCUGAGGCACGAAAGCGUGGUAGCAAACAGG
rnacentral:rRNA from 1 species